rnacentral:tRNA from 1 species
UUCCUGGCAGUCCAGUGGUAAGGACUCUGCGCUUACACUGCAGCAGGGCCUGGGUUUGAUCCCUGGUCAGGAAA